rnacentral:lncRNA from 1 species
UGGAUUAUGACUGAACGCCUCUAAGUCAGAAUCCGGGCUAGAGCGACGCGUGCGCCCGCCGCCCGUUUGCCGACCCGCAGUAGGGACCGCCCGGUCCCCAGAGGCACGUGUCGUAGGCCAAGCCCCCGCGGCGGAAGGGCCGCGGCGGCCGCCUUGAAUCGUAAUUCCCAUCGAGCGGCGGGUAGAAUCCUUUGCAGACGACUUAAAUACGCGACGGGGUAUUGUAAGUGGCAGAGUGGCCUUGCUGCCACGAUCCACUGAGAUUCAGCCCUACGUCGCUCAGAUUCGUCCCUCCCCCCUCACUCGCACCGUCUUCUCUUGUUCGGAACCCGUCGGAGGUUAGCCCCCUGCGGCGCACACGCCCAAGGAUCGGAGUGGACUUGUGUUUUUUCACGAGGCUAACUCUCGGCAAUAUCUAAGUGGCUGGCACAAAGGCAGCACACUCUCCUUUUCAUGAGGCUAACUCUGGCACAAAGACUUGUGUGAUGGCUUCGAAAGGAGGCUAACUCAGGCCUCGUAGCGGACUUGUGUCUAACUCUCGGCAAAAUCUAAGUGGCUGGCACAAAGGAGAAAUUUGGCUUCCGUUUUCUCCUGUGGCUAAACCCCACGCCGCCCCGAAAACGCGAAUUUUGGCCCUUUCUGGCCGAAAAAUGGGUCCCCCUGCGCGUUCGGUAAAUUGGCCAUAAAACGAGAUCCGGACCUCGGAAUAGACUUCCGUCUCCUCCGACGGUUAACAAACGCACAUAUCUACAAUGCCGGCCCAAAAUCCCCUGCCGCCCCGAAAACGCGAAAUUUGGGCAAAAUCCGUGUGCUCAAAAUGGCCACGGUUUUUGGCCAUUUUUGCCCAAAAUUUGGGACCCCGAGCUCCGGCAUAAUUUCCACCACUUUUUGGUCCCAUCAGAUAAUUCAGGUCGAUAUACGGCGCCUCCUAAAAUUUCAGCCCAUUCCGGUGCCGUUUGCAUAUCUUACGAGUAAUUUUGUGUCCCGGUUUAUCCAUUUUGGACGAUUUUAAAAACUGUUUUCCAGCGGCCAAAAAAUUGUUCCCUAAGCCCGCCAUCUACUUGAGUCCUGAGACUAAUUGCAGCAUCCGGCCCAUGGUGGUUUCUCGCAUGACGCCUAAUUGCAGCAUCCGGCCCCCAUGGAACAGCGGUAGCAGCGCCGGAAGGGACAUGGCCACUUCCCGCGCGGAAGGAAGCCACCCGCCCCAGCCAGGGCGAGCGCGGCCUGCCUCGCGCGAGGGUGCUGUGCGUGCCCCGCGAGGGUGCCGUGCGAGCCGCGCGAUCGUGCCUGGCCUGCUCGCAAGCGCGCGCUGCCUGCCCCGCGAUCGUGGGCAGCUUGCCUCGCGAGCCUGCGCUGCUUGCCGCGCGAGUGGGGGCUGCAUGGCGUGCGCAAGCCUUGCCUCGCUCGAGCGUGGGCUGCGUGCCUUGGUGGCGAGCGCCCGCUGCCUUGCCUCGCUCGAGCGUCGGCAGUUUGCCGCGCGAGUGCCAGGUGCAUGCCGCGCGCGCGCUCGUAUCCUUCCCCGCCAGCGUGCGCUGCGGGCACGCGAGGCUGGGCUACAUCCCUCGCACGAGUUCGCGCUGCCUUCCUCGCGAGUGGGUGAAGCAUGCCUUACUCGGAAAUGGGCAGCCUCGCGCGCAAGAGUUGGCUUCCUUGCCGCGCGAGCGUGGGCAGCCUCGCGCGCCAGCGUUGGCUGCCUUGCCGUGCGAGGGUGGGCAGCCUCGCGCGCCAGCGUGCGCAGCCUCGCGCGCGAUCGUUGGCUUCCUUGCCGCGCGAGCGUGCGCAGCCUGGCGCGCGAGCGUCGGCUUGCUUGCCGCGCGAGCGUGCGCAGCCUCGCGCGCCAGAGUGCGCAGCCUUGCCGCUCGAGCGUGGGCAGCCUUGCCGCGCGAGAGUUGGCUGCCUUGCCGCGCGAGAGUGGGCAACCUCGCGCGCCAGCGUGCGCAUCCUUGCCGCGCGAGCGUGCGCAGCCUGGCGCGCGAGCGUGGGCUUGCUUGCCGUGCGAGCGUUGGUAACGCGCGCCAUCUUGGGCAGCCUCGGGCGCCAGCGUGCGCAGCCUCGCGCCACAGUGCGCAGCCUUGCCGCUCGAGCGUGGGCAGCCUUGCCGCGCCAGAGUUGGCUGCCUUGCCGCGCGAGUGUGGGCAACCUCGCGCGCCAGCGUGCGCAUCCUCGCGCAAGAUCGUUGGCUGCCUUGCCGCACGAGAGUUGGCUGCCUGCGCGCGAUGGUGCCGCGCGCUGGUGCGCUUGCUGCGCGCGAUGGUGCCGCGCGCUGGGGAGCUUGCUGCGCGCGAUGGUGCCGCGCGCUGGGGAGCUUGCUGCGCGCGAUGGUGCCGCGCGCUGGGGAGCUUGCUGCGCGCGAUGGUGCCGCGCGCUGGGGAGCUGGCUGCGCGCGAUGGUGCCGCGCGCUGGGGCGCUCGCUGCGCGCGAUGGUGCCGCGCGCAAUCUCGCUAACUGCUCGCGAUGGUGCCGCGCGCUGGCGCGCUUGCUGCGCGCGAUGGUGCCGCGC